GACGGAGGAUGCAAGCGUUAUCCGGAAUGAUUGGGCGUAAAGCGUCUGCAGGUGGCAGUUCAAGUCUGCUGUCAAAGACCGGGGCUUAACUUCGGAAAGGCAGUGGAAACUGAACAGCUAGAGUAUGGUAGGGGCAGAGGGGAUUCCUGGUGUAGCGGUGAAAUGCGUAGAGAUCAGGAAGAACAUCGGUGGCGAAGGCGCUCUGCUGGACCAUAACUGACACUCAGGGACGAAAGCUAGGGGAGCGAAUGGG
rnacentral:rRNA from 1 species